AAUUGACGGGGCCCGCACAAGCGGCGGAGCAUGCGGAUUAAUUCGAUGCAACGCGAAGAACCUUACCAAGGCUUGACAUACACCGGUAACGCCCAGAGAUGGGUGCCCCUUUGUGGUCGGUGGACAGGUGGUGCAUGGUUGUCGUCAGCUCGUGUCGUGAGAUGUUGGGUUAAGUCCCGCAACGAGCGCAACCCUCGUCCUAUGUUGCCAGCGGGUCAUGCCGGGGACUCAUGGGAGACUGCCGGGGUCAACUCGGAGGAAGGUGGGGAUGACGUCAAAUCAUCAUGCCCCUUAUGUCUUGGGCUUCACGCAUGCUACAAUGGCCGGUACAAAGGGCUGCGAUACCGCGAGGUGGAGCGAAUCCCAGAAAGCCGGUCUCAGUUCGGAUUGGGGUUUGCAACUCGACCCCAUGAAGUCGGAGUCGCUAGUAAUCGCAGAUCAGCAACGCUGCGGUGAAUACGUUCCCGGGCCUU
rnacentral:rRNA from 1 species